GGGCUCUUUUCACGAUGGGGGCGCUUUGGGCAAGCAGCAUCGCCAUGUACGCCAUCGAGGUCUUUCGUGCGUCGCGCACCAUGAUUGACGAGUCCUCAAAAAGGAAUGUCGAUCNGGCUUGGAUCGUGCGCAUACUGCUCUACAUCGCAGCUCCGAUUACCGCGUUGUUCGUCGCACGCGACGCUCUCAAUUUUAGCGUUUUCCAAAUGAUGGUUACGANNNNNNUGAUCGCCGCGCUGGUCUGCGUUGCCGCUUUCUGGCCGCGCCCACGGUAAUUCUAGAUCAU
rnacentral:misc_RNA from 1 species